GAUGAAGAACGUAGCGAAAUGCGAUAAGUAAUGUGAAUUGCAGAAUUCAGUGAAUCAUCGAAUCUUUGAACGCACAUUGCGCCCCUUGGUAUUCCGGGGGGCAUGCCCGUUCGAGCGUCAUUUCAACCAUCAAGCCCCCGGCUUGUGUUGGGGACCUGCGGCUGCCGCAGGCCCUGAAAAGCAGUGGCGGGCUCGCUGUCACACCGAGCGUAGUAGCAUACAUCUCGCUCUGGGCGUGCUGCGGGUUCCGGCCGUUAAACCACCUUCAUAACCCAAGGUUGACCUCGGAUCAGGUAGGAAGACCCGCUGAACUUAAGCAUAUCAAUAAGCGGAGGA
rnacentral:misc_RNA from 1 species